GACGAACGCUGGCGGCGUGCUUAACACAUGCAAGUCGAACGGAAAGGCCCUGCUUUUGUGGGGUGCUCGAGUGGCGAACGGGUGAGUAACACGUGAGUAACCUGCCCUUGACUUUGGGAUAACUUCAGGAAACUGGGGCUAAUACCGGAUAGGAGCUCCUGCUGCAUGGUGGGGGUUGGAAAGUUUCGGCGGUUGGGGAUGGACUCGCGGCUUAUCCGCUUGUUGGUGGGGUAGUGGCUUACCAAGGCUUUGACGGGUAGCCGGCCUGAGAGGGUGACCGGCCACAUUGGGACUGAGAUACGGACCAGACUCCUACGGGAGGCAGCAGUGGGGAAUAUUGCACAAUGGGCGGAAGCCUGAUGCAGCAACGCCGCGUGCGGGAUGACGGCCUUCGGGUUGUAAACCGCUUUCGCCUGUGACGAAGCGUGAGUGACGGUAAUGGGUAAAGAAGCACCGGCUAACUACGUG
rnacentral:rRNA from 1 species